UGCCCUCUCUGUAAGAGUGUCUAUAUUAGGUUAACUGAGGCAGGAAGUCUUAUCCUGACUCUCAAGUGGCCCAUUCUGUGGGCCAGUGUUCCAGAUUGAUGCAGUGGUUUAAAUGGGAAACUCCCCGCUUCAUGUAUUUGAAUACUUGGUCCCCAACUAAUGCUGCUGUUUGUGGAUCUAAUGUGACCAGCGCCUCUCCUGCCACCAAACUAUCCUAACAUGAUGGGGUCUGUCUUCACUCAACUUGUAAGCCAAAGUAAGCCCUUCCUCCCUCAAGGUCUUGUCAGGUAUUUUUAUCACAGUAACAAGACAGAGAUAACACAGCCUGAGUGAGGCGCUGUCUCCUUGAGUGGCUGGGAAAGCGUUGCAGAGAAAGCAGUAACUGGACUGCAUAGUAAAGAAUUUUUAAGGCUGUGAGUGAGUGCGACUAGUGGUGAAAUCUCAUGCUGUGCCGGCAAGUUUUAGGUCAACUUGACACCAGCUAGAGUUAUCUGAAAGGAGGGAGCCUCAAACUAGAAGACGCCUCCAUAAGAUCCAGCUGUGGGGCAUUUUCUUAAUUAGGGAUUGAUGAGGGAGGGUCCAGCCCAUUUCGAGGAGUGUUAUGCCUGCACUGAUUGGUCCUGGGUUCCAUAAGAAAGCAGGCUGAGCAAGUCAUGGAGAGCAAGCCAGUAAGCAGCACCCCUCCAUGGCCUCUGCACCAGCUCCUGCCUCUAGUUCCUGCCCUGUUUAACUUCCUGUCCUGACUUCAUUCAGUCAGUCAGUGGACAGCGCUGUGGAAGUGUAAGCCAAAUAAACCCUUUCCUCCCCAAUUGCUUUUUGGUCAUGGUGUUUCAUCACAGCAAUAGAGACCCAGAGACAGCACGCAAAAGGGCCUGGGUUCAAGCCACCGUGCCACUUUUUAAAGUACUCACUAAAUCAUUAAGGCAGGAAAUGACUGCCUGGACAUGUGUGUAUGAAAUUGAAAUCAUAGCAUAUUUGAGACUCCAGUCUGGGUAUGUCAUGGGGGCACAAACAAAAGGAGAAAGAAAGAAGGCAGGUUUGAGGAUUGACCCUUUACGUUCAGUUGUGGGAAGACUGAGCUCUAUGUGCUAGCAUUUGCAAGCAGCACUCAGAAGCAGCUUCGGAUUGUAUGCCCACGUCAAAGUGAGGGGCAGAAGUGUGCGGUGCCACAAAAGUGAAUUCUAGGAUGCGUAAUCAAAUUUUAAGCAGAGUGCAUAUCAGGGGUCCCCUCCACAAACGUAGGAUUUUACCAGCCAGGCCGCCCCAGGAAUUCAGAUCCCUGUAAUUCUCAAUAGAAACUGCAGAGGGCAGCAACGGCAGUGAGUUCAGAUAAAGGGAGAAACCAAACUGCCAAGGCAGGCUGGGGAUUUUGUCUCCACCAACCAGCAGUGGAUGUUUCCAGAUGCUGAGGAAAAGACCGAGUAGGCUACAGAUCCGUAACUUUCACCUUGCAGGUAGAAGUUCCCAAACAAAACAAAAAGGACCCCUAUUCACCAAGCAGGAAGGACACAUCGUGUCCCCCAGAGGCUCGUGUGUUUGGAUGUUUACCCCACGGUUGGUGGUAUGGUCUAGGGGCGGUUUCAGACCUGGAAAGCCGGAGCCUGUGGCGCAGAGAGGAUUUUUGAGAUUGGAGGUAGGGUAGAGACAGGUGUUCGCUCUUUUAAACUGAACUACAUAAGGCGCGGUUCGUGUUGGUUAACCGAAGUACACUCUGAGGAAUGACUCAACAGGCAUUUUGAAGUUAGAAAAACAUAGAGGACAUUAAAUUAAAUAAGAUGUAACUGGGCCGCAUAAUCUGUUCCUCUAAGCAGGUUACUCUGUAGACCAGGCAGCCUCAGACUGAUUGCUCCGUCUCCGCCUUCCAAGCGUCAGGAUUGUGAACACGCACCACACAUACAAUCCCAUGGGACCGUUGUCAUUUACGCCGCCAUUACGGCCCUGUCGUGUAGUGCAAGGCUGUAUUUACUGCUGAGGGCCCAGCCCAGUGGUACUUAAAGUGGUCCAUGAACCAGUCCGUGGGGCAAGCAUGGCCUUUCAGAGCAGGCACAGAGGUCCCUUUAUAGCAGUUUGACAAUUACUUGAUGUCUGUUGACAUAUAUAGUAACCAAAAUUGGGACUUUAGGUUUUGUGUGUCUCUUUAUUAUUUCAGUUUUCUAGUAGGUGAUAGAUAGCUCAUCAUUGGUCACAGGAUCAGACAAAAAGCCCUGCUGUAGAGAGUGUACAGGGAAGUAAAAAUUCAUAGGAGAUACACACAUGCACAUAUACACACAUAUGUGUAUACAUAAUUAUAGUAUACAUAAAUUAUAAUACUAUAUAGCAUAUAUUACACUGCUUGCAAAUAUGUUAUAUAUUAUCUAACAUACAUAUACAAUAUACAUGUAUACAUGUAUGUAAUAUACGCAUAUACAAUAUAUACAUACAUAUACACACAUAUAUUUAUAUAUAAUGCUGCUUUCAUGAAAAAAUUAACCCAUCACAAUUGGUCGUUUGAGUGGACUGGUAGCCUACACCUUUAACCCCAGGACCUGGUAGGCAAAAGCAAGUAGAUCUCUGAGUUUGAGGCCAGCCUGGUCUACAGAGUGAGUUCCAGGACAUCCAAGGCUACACAGAAAAACCCUGCCUCAAAACACAAAAACAAACGAUUGGUUGGUUUUCAGUUCUGGAAUCUGAGGCCUGGUGCAUGUUAGCCAAGCACUCUACCACAGAGCUCACCUGCAGCCCAGCGCAGUCUCACAAACACGGAAGAGCUCAGUUGAGUCUCGAGAUCAUCAAAAUUAAAAUGCAGUCAGAUGAGCUCCGCACUCAGGAGGCAAGCAACCGUUUUCUCAGGUUAAGGGCAGCCUACGCCACAUAGGGAAUUCAGAUCCUGACUGAUGUAUGAGGUUCAGCAGAGAGAUUCAGGAAGCAUGGGGACGAUCAAGAGCCGCCAGCAGAUAACUCCUGCUUAGGACCACACCGUCAACAAACCUCAAAAUGCGUCCCUGAAAUGCUGAGGUGUUGGGGUACAUGGAGGCAAAGCCAACACUCUGAGGAACAGCAAAACAAUGGAGAUUCCAGAUGGCUCAAAAUCUCCCCAGCAGGACCCUACUGACCCUGUGGAUUCGGUGACUCCUUGCCAGACAGGUAUAAAUCCGGGUGUUGCCGUGACUUGUCCAGGUCACCAAAGCUCCCUUGGCAAAUGUGUGACUCAGUGGCCUCUGUAACCUGAGCGAUACUGGUGGCGGCACUGUUCUCUGGAUCUGGGCAAAGAAAAGCUGCCUGGGAGUGGAUUUCAGUGGUGCGUCUGAAGCAGUUCACUCUUCCUGCAUCCUGACCUGCUCCCCAGUCUGUGGGUCAGUAGAGCUCCACGGAACUCAACAGAGUUGUGAGCAGUGCAUCACAGGGGAUUUAACUUAUCUGAACACAUCACUUGUGAAAGAGCUUUUUGUAAGCCCUUUAUCUGGGUCAAGGACGCUGAAUCACAAAGUACAAGGAGGCUCUUCACAGGUAGGGGAACAAGACUCAGCUGCUGCAGACUCCCAGGUCUGUGGCGAGCCUCAAAUGGCUCUACAAGCCCUGGUCUCCUUCCUGCAGCUUUCAGCGUGGCGGAUGAAAGGCAGUCCAGAGCUGGAAAGAGUCCUGUCUGGCGUUGCUAUUUCAGUGCUAAUGAGCUGUCUGCAGCCCUCUGCCAGGCUUGGAGAGAGCUUUUCAUGUACUGCACCUGUGUUAGCAGCCACCGGUAUGAGGAGGAUUUGUGGCCCUAAAGAACUACAAAUGACCUUUUUGCUUUGAGGCUCUCCAGGGUAACUGCUUACUAGUCUAACCCUCCAACACUACCAGACUCUGGGACCAACAAGAUGCAUAGGAGCUCCCAAUCCAAUCAGUAGAGGAAGCCAGCCAGGCUACGAGUGCAUACAGGAUGCGGAUCCAAGAGAGGCGCGGAGGCAAAAACAAUGCAAUACAGCUGCUUUGGGCAAGUGAGAAAGCUCCGCUUAAGAGGUAACAUUUUAGCUGGGUUCUGAAGCAUGUGUAGGAGUUUGCCUAUUCAACAUUCAGUUGACUUCCAUUUAGAAAAUGAUCUAAAAGCAAAGGUACUUAAUUUGAGAUCCAGAAGCCACCGACUCUGGAAGGUUUUCAAAAUACUGUAUAAGUCUAUUGUGAAGUGCAAUUUUCUGGAUUAGGCUCAUUAGAUUCAUAAAAGAAUCUACCAUUCAAAAAAUUAAACUGUGAGUCUAGAGAUGUGGUUCAGUGGGAAAGACAAAUGACUGCUCUUCCAGAGGACCUGAGUUUGGUUCCCAGCACCCGCUUCAUGUGGCUCCAACAGCCUAUAACUCCAGCCCCAGAGAACCUGCCGCUUCUGGCUACUAUAUGCAGAGAUACAUAAAAUGUAGUUGUUUGUUUGAGACACAGGGUCUUUCUAUGUAGCUCUGGCUGGCCUGGAACUUGCUCUGUAAACCAGGCUGGCCUCAAACCCACAGAGAUCCACCUGCUUUUGCCUCCUGAGUUCGAGGGACUAAAGGCCUGCAGCAUCACACCCAGCUCUGAUAUUUGAAGUAAGAUCUUUUUGUUCUGCUUUCUAAAGGUUAAGCAGAACAGGAUCUUCAAGUGAAGGAAACAAACGGGGCUGAGAGCCAGAGGCCUAGCUCUAGCAGGUGCCACCAUCCUCUCUGGAACAUUUAGCCAGCUUCACUCAUAGCAGCUCGUCCUGUCUCUGUCCACUCUUUCUCUUCUCCCAACUCUUUCUUGCCCCAGCUUCACUCCCUAUACUUUGGCCCCUGCUCUACUCCCCAAAGCCUUAACACACACACACACACACACACACACACACACACACACACACACACACACUCGGAGAAGUAGUGGCAUCAGCAUGGAGGGCUCAUCCAAUCCCGUUGCUCAUGGCCCUAAGUCUUCAAUUGCCAGAGCAUCCUGACAGAAACGGCAUUUCAGUUCACAUGACUCAUCUGAUCACGGUGUGUGUGUGUGUGUGUGUGUGUGUGUGUGUGUGUGUGUGUGUGUGUGUGCAUGCACACACGCAUGACAACACCACUUCAACUAGUGAGUACAAGGGACUGGGGAGGUGGCUGAGUGACUAAGAGCACAUGCAGUUCUUGCAAAGGACCCGAGCUCUGUCCCUAGCACCUACGUAGGGCAGCCUAUGACUGCCUAUAAUUAACUCCAUGGGCUCUCUCUGCCUCUGGCCUCUGCAGGGACCUGUGAUCUCUCUCUCUCUCUCUCUCUCUCUCUCUCUCUCUCACACACACACACACACACACACACACACACACACACACACACACCUCUCACCCCCAACACACAUAAUAUAAAAUUUAAAUAUUUUAAAUUAUUAAAGCCAUGUUUUAAGUAAUUACUUUCUGCCAGAGGAGGAGGUUUGAUGGUUUACAUUCACAGUCUACCGUGAACCCUUCGGCAAUCCCGGGAACCAGACUGAUAAAGAGAUAUGGAAACUAGGGCUUUAGGUGGCCAAGCAUCUUGCUUUGGUCACUAUUCCUAUCUGGGACUUGAACUGGCCCCCAUCUCUGAGAACCCUAGCUUCAGGUUGGGGGGAGUGGUUCCUUGCACACAAGUGUACGCUGCUACGUGUUCCCUGUUACUGCCUAUUGCGGGGGCUUGUGCACACAGGCAGCGAGUGUCUACAGCGUGCAGCCCCAAAGGAGGCUGGGAAAAGAGCAGGCAACUGUACUGAGUGAGCAUCGGAAAUCAGGGCAGAGGGGGCUGGGGAGCCUCAUGCACAGCUGGGUGGCAUUUCAAGUCUCAGAGCAACUUGAUUAAGUUUCCACCCUAAUUCUGAUCUUGAGAUGGAAGUGGGUCAGGGUGACCCAUAUUCAGCUCCUUUGUCACAGCCCCGGGUGCUGUCCCUGGGCCAGGAAAGAGGGUCACCACUAAUGAGAGGCAAUGGGCCUGGCCGACAGCGACAGAACCUGAAAGUGAACUUGGUAAAGUCACCGUGCAGACACGGGACUCACUCCAAGUCCAGCGGGUGCCCCACUGUCCCCACAGAGGCAGGGUAGGAAGUGACAGAAAACUGUAUGGGUUCAUUGGAAGGGGCAAAGGUCCCUUCUACUCCAAUCUGUUUAAAUUCCUCUCCAGCACAGUUCACGGAGGUGACCUACACACAAAGAAUAUUUCUUAUGUGGAAAUACUGUUGAAUAAGAAAGUAAAAAUGACAAUAAACCAGGCUGGCAGUCUAAAUGGAUGUAACCUAAGGGCCCCAUGCCUUACUAGCAAGACUAUUAACAUGUUUACUGUGGAAGUUCCUUAGCCUACCUCAUCCCUGUGAUCCAGAGUUUAACCCUGUCAGGUGCCCCUCAGGAACCUCUCUGUGCUCUUGUUUAAACUCCGUAGCAACCCCUGGAAGAUUCUAACCCUAAAUCCGACAUCUAACUGUUGAGAGGACAGGGAAGUGAGGCUCCUUCCAAAAGCCCACGCCUGAACGUUGCGCCUAUAUCCCAUAAUGCCUUUCUCCUAACUCUGCUUCUUACAUUUGCUAAGCG